GAUGCCAUGGGCAGCCUCACAGCCACAGUGCUGGAGCGUGGCUUUGGCACAGUACAGGUGAUAAAGGCAACUGUGGUGACUGAAGGGAGAUCAGCGCGGAUGCGGCUGCCAUUGAGGAUGGCUCUUGAGGAGCGAUGGUGAUGCCCAGCAUUUGAACAAUGCUGAGCAGUGUUCUGAGUGGGCCCAAGGGAGCUGGAGGAAGAAAGGGGCAUGCCCCAAGAAGGCGUGGAGCCUUGCGGGGAGCAGGUCGCUCACAUCCAGGAGGAGCAGGAUGAGGUGAG